rnacentral:tRNA from 1 species
AAAUUCUUAGUAUAUCUAGUAUAUUUAAUUGCAAAUUAAAAGGUUAAGAGUUUU